ACCUAGGAGACUAGGGUUCUAUUCCAAAGUCCCAAUGGAGUGACCUAUUCACUGGGGAAACAACAACUCUCCUCACUGGCAAAGAAAUGUAGAACUGGAGCGCUCAUUACAUUUCCAGCCCAAAGGAACUGGGAAGUCUACGUCAAACUUUUUAAGUAUGACCCUGUGCUAACGUUAUUUACGGUUUCCUCCAUGCCAAGAUACCAGAUGGGCAUGAAAAUCCUGGCCUCACUGAAGUCGAUAGCAAAACUCCCUUUGACUUAAAUAAGCCAGGCUCCGUGACUCCCAUCAGAAUGCAGUGAGCUUUGCAAGGAUUCACAUGGUACCAGUCAGCAGAUACAAAAAGAUAUCCUUAAGACUUUCCUGUCAGCCUCGCACCAGAAGAGUCUCCUAACUCCAGUCCAGGUGCCCGUCACCCUUCACAGAUAAGCAGUGCAAUCUGACAAGGAAACUCAUCCUGCUGUCAUCUGCAUGGCAACCUCAAGAUUCUCCUGGGGAGCAUGUCAGGAUGUUUACAGACUUCAUGAAACUCUAGGAGAACAGCUGUGCUCUUAUCUUCUGUUACCUUGAAGAAAGUGAAAGAGGGAGAGGUUAUUGCAAGUGGUACAGAACUGACCAAUAUUAGCUGUGAGAGGCUCACUCUCCUUUACUUCAUCCAAAUAUAACCUGCAACUCUUGUGGUCUAAAUUUGCAUGGCAAACUGAAGACACAGCAGCUACAGUUUAAUAAGAGCCUCGUUGAAUUCACAGAUCUAAAUAAAAAGUUGGAAGCAA